CCACGCGGUCAGGCGAAUGGAAUGGAGACGGGGAGAAGAUGACAUCCAGUGUGGCAGCGGGAAAAGAAGGACAGUGGGGACAGGACCACCUUAUAGCAACCCUGCCCACUGAAAGAUUUGUAGGGAAUAUGCCGUUCGUGUACACCAGCUGGUACCUUAGGAAGAAAUCACUUAGUGGAUGCUCUUGGUACAUACUCCUGGUCACUGGUAGGAUGAGGAGGUGGCUUGCAGAGCACAGAGUAGGAAUGUACACAGUGGCAUUACCUGGAUCCACUUUUAGAUCCAGCUGGGAAUGGAUCAAGUACUCUGGACAUCAAAAACAAGCCAAAACAGGUCAGUGGAGCAGGAGAUGCAUCUGUGACCCUCUGCCCUCUGAAGACCUGACAGGCAAUGAAGAGCCCUCUGGAUGCUGUAGCUCCUGGCAGGAAAAGGAAGAAACCCAUCCUUGUAUUUUUCUGAAAUUUAACAUUGAAGAAUGCAGUACAUUUAAACUCAAAAGGAGACAAAAACAUUUGUUAGAAGGAGAAAGAAGCAGCAUAAAGAUUUAUUUUGGAAAGCAGAUUUUGUAGCUGAGGAAUAAGCAAAUUGGAUCUUACUGUUUUCUGGUUACAUUUUGCCUUUUCACAGUAAGUAAAACAAAAUGGUGGUUUCUCAGCUAUUGUGAUUUUAGAAAUACAGUAUUUAAUUAAAUCUUUUUAUAGCAAUGUUUUUUACCUGCACUCUUUGUGUUUCUUGUAGAUCUGAGGCUUGCCAAGUUUCACUCAAUUAGAAAGAGAUCAGUCAUUCCAGAACUGAAAGCAGUUUUCUGGAAUGUCUCCAUAAAAAACAACAUUGAAUAACUUAACUGGAUGUAAGAACUUUUAAAUAGUAAGGCAUUACAAGCCAAUUUUUAAUCUUGGUCUUUUAUAAAUAUACCAUUUCAUUCCUUCCUCAUUUAACUUCAGAGACAGUCUUAUGUACAUAACACCUCUGAACAUUAAAUAACACUCACAGUAAAAGGCACUUUAAAAAGAAUUUUGGUCUGAAUUAGCUUUUCCUACACUCAGUCAGUGCUGAGCACCUGAUGGAGUAAAACCUAAGGGUCUUUCCCCAGCAUUAGUUUCUCUUAAGUUAUGAUAAUGAUUUAUGGUACCUCCGAGUCCUGAUUUGGAGCUCAUAGUGAGUAAAGGAUAUCUUAGAGAAACCAGUAAAACUGCACUAUGUACCUAACUUUUCAGAAAAACCCUAGAGAACUAAGCAAAGCAGGACAAUUUUUUUUUCUAUUCCUGAGAAGAUUAAAAAGUGGCCUAAAACAUCCUGGGGCUCAGAUGCACCAGAUUAGACCAAUAGCCUAUGUACAGGUGAGAAAGAGCAAGACAGCUGUUACACAGCACUAAAUAAAUGAAGAGUUUUCUUCAGUUACAGAAAGGUAAAGCUGCAGAGGGAUCAGUUUCCUCUAAGAAAUCAAAAAGGAGAUGUGUGAUGCUUUAUAUUUGUUAAACUGUAAAUCCAUAAAGAGAUGCAAUUGUGAAACAAAACUGAAGGCUCUAUAGAGAAGUCCACAAAAUACAGUCAGAGUAGAUUUGCAAGAAGUCACAUAAAAAACUGCACAAGGCUUGAAAUAAAAUAUAUAGACCCAAGAAGCCUCUGGGCAAAUCCAUUAUAUUUAAAUUUCUUUUGUAUCAUAAAACAAUUCUGCAAAAGUCUGUGGACAACAGCUGAAGAGAGACAAAGAAGAGCUAGAAAGAAUAAAUUGUAGCAGAAAUUUUGCAAGAGCAAAGACUGGAUUAUCACUUUGGGUACAAAAGGACUGCACGUGAUUUACAUUUGGACACGAUACAUAAGCUAUACUAUAUUUGAAGUCCCAGAAAUAAUUUUGAAAUUAAAUUCUAAUUAUAUAGAAUACAAACAAGCAAAACUCAUCUCAUAGGAGUUGUGUUGUGGGGAAUGUGAACUGCAAGCCUAGGAAAGACAAAAUUUAGAAAAUCUAAUACUUGCAGUGGCUUCAAAAAUGAAACACUCUACCUUUUUUAGGACUGGAAAUGUCAGAUACUAGAUGAUAAUGCAAAUUAUGAAGAAAAACACAAGUCCAGAAAGCAAAAACAUAUAGUGAAAACAGAACAUAAUGAAAUAGAGAAGUAACACAGGAGAGGUAGCUUAUCUGUACCCUUUUCUUUGAGAUGUGGUUGAAUGUCACUCAUACCCAAGCAGAGUUAGGCAGAUAUUUAUGUCUUGGUGCAAGAGCCACAGUAUCAAAGGUAUACCAGACAGCUCUGUCCUGGGAGCCUGUAGCUUGGGAACAGCUGAUCUCCCUUCCAUCCAAGAGAGAAUGCUGACACUGCUUUGGAAGGUAUUUAGGAUGAGUGUAAAGCAUAAACUCUAAAAGAUGCCUGUCUGUUAAUAAAGGCUACCAUCUCUUUUUGCCCCCCUGACUGAAAUAACUGUGAGGUUGAUUUCACUGAGAAAUGAAGAAUGGAGAAAGAUUUGGAAGGUAUACUACCAAAUAUAUGAAAACCAUCUCACCUGGCAAGAAGGACCAAGACCCUGACAGGAAGAAACUUUCUGGAGUUUUAAGGGCAUUCAGCAAAUCCAAGUGGAAAAUCCUUCGCUUGUAGACAUAACAUAGGUAUGACAAUCAGGGCAAUUUCAAACAAACUGGUCAAAACAUCCUGUCCUAUAAAUCAUCAUCACACAUCAGCACACAUGCUGCAUGUGCCUGCUCAUAUGUCCACUGUUGUUUAUCAGGGUAUCACCAACCAGAAUAAACAGGUAAGCUGUAAUCCAGAGAGCCAUUGCCUCCUGCUGACUAAAGGCAAGCUCAGCACUCGGAGACCGUGGCACUGAAACCAGCUUAGGUGUAGUAGAGAAAUGGCAGGAUAGGCCAUGGAAGAAUAACCACAGUGCAACAUUGUCUUACCUGCUGAAUGACUGCAGUCCUGAAAGAAACUUCUGUGAACAAAUACUCCUCUAACUGCCAAAUCAAGGAACUGUCUAACAAGAACUGCAGAGAUGAACGAGCUCCAGGGCACUAAGACUGAUUCUUGAUAUUGAAGAUAGGGUAUUGAAGGCAUAGGAGACAGCCUCUGGAUAUUCAGCAAGCUGAUUCAGUGGGCAUCUUUAAAAGACAUAAUUUAUCAUUAUGUAUCAAAGAAAGACCUAUACAUUAAUGACAGACUGAGGGGACAUGGUCUGCACAAGGAACAAGUCAAUUUUAAGUCCAUACAAAAUCCCUCUGACCAUGUUAGGGUGGAGGAGUGAAGUGAUAACAAAGCUCUCUCAUCAUUAACAUGAGUGAGACACUUUCAGUGUGCUCUUCUGUCUCAAAGAACACUGAGGAAGCAGAACUUUCAAAAGGACAGGUCAGUGUUUAAGAAACCUGUGAUCUUUGCUUUGUGCUUUUGCUUAUGGAGUUGGAACUUUCUCCAGAAAUAUCUAACAAAGCAUUGGAAAGCCUUAAUGCCUUCCAGGGAAGAUAAGAAACAGAUUACAACUUUGAUUGAGUCUUCUGAUUUCUCUUCUGCAGUGCAAACAAAGUUAUAAGGUAAAGGUAAAUGCUGUUGAAUCAAUGACCAAGCCUCAUGAUAAUAUAAAGGAAAACCUCAGGACACAAACAGAAGCUGUUUGAAGAAAGAGUCAGUAUCCAGGACCUAUCUAUGAAUGACCCUGGAAGGAGCAGAGUACCAUUGUGGAUCUCAAAAAUGUGAGAGGAACAGCUCUUCUGGAGGGUCUCAUGAGCUGCUGUUCCAACCAGGGGGUCUCAGAAGACAUGGCCUGGGCCAAAGGUGAGGGGCCAACCUUUGUAGACCUACACCUGACCAAAACUACAUCUUGGGGGCCAGCAGUCUCUUUGUCAAAAGCUUGUUUCUUCUUUCUGGUUGUAGAAACAUGAACCAGUCCAGGAGCUGUCAGCCAGUUCAUUCUCCAGGCUGUUUGACUUUGUAGAACCUUUGGAUUUGCUCAUUAAGUGUUCUCAGAGAUAGCACCAGUGAUCCCCACAUGGUCUGAAUCCAACUUCAAACAUCUUGCCAGGGAUGUGCAUUUCCCUACAGCAUUUAAGACAACAGCAGCCAUCAGAAUUGGGAAAACUGGUUCUCCAGGGAAAAGUCCAGCAAUCUAAGUCACACAAAGGAAGCAGGCAACAGCUGAUGAAAU